GAUGAACGCUGGCGGCGUGCCUAAUACAUGCAAGUCGAGCGAACGGACGAGAAGCUUGCUUCUCUGAUGUUAGCGGCGGACGGGUGAGUAACACGUGGAUAACCUACCUAUAAGACUGGGAUAACUUCGGGAAACCGGAGCUAAUACCGGAUAAUAUUUUGAACCGCAUGGUUCAAAAGUGAAAGACGGUCUUGCUGUCACUUAUAGAUGGAUCCGCGCUGCAUUAGCUAGUUGGUAAGGUAACGGCUUACCAAGGCAACGAUGCAUAGCCGACCUGAGAGGGUGACCGGCCACACUGGAACUGAGACACGGUCCAGACUCCUACGGGAGGCAGCAGUAGGGAAUCUUCCGCAAUGGGCGAAAGCCUGACGGAGCAACGCCGCGUGAGUGACGAAGGUCUUCGGAUCGUAAAACUCUGUUAUUAGGGAAGAACAUAUGUGUAAGUAACUGUGCACAUCUUGACGGUACCUAAUCAGAAAGCCACGGCUAACUACGUG
rnacentral:rRNA from 1 species